rnacentral:lncRNA from 1 species
AGAAUUCCUCCAUCCAGGAAUAGCCAAGUGAAUAGUACAAACCAUUGUCAUGUAAAAGCCUUGCAAAGUCAUCUGCUUUUAGUAAAGUCCUUCAAUCAGUACCACUUAAAGGACAGUCCAAAACGGAUACCAAUCCACAAACAUUUGUCUCUGGUCCUGAUGAGAAAUUAAUUUUGUAUUUAUUUCACCAAAGUACUGACCUACAACAGAUUGGAAAUUUUAAAAAAACAAACGAACUGGCCCUUCACCAGGGUUAGUUUGAGAAGCGCUUCCUUGAAUGGCAUUCCUGUGAGAAAGCUGCCAUGUUGUAAGCAGCCCUCUGUAGAAGCUCAGGUGGCAGGCCGAUGACAGGUCCUCUGUGUCUUCUCCAUUCAGCUGGUGAUGAAGAAAGACAGUGAAGACCAAGCAUGGGAGGAUUUUAUGGACCAGGCCUGGAAGUGACCCCCAUGACUUCCGCUCACAUUCUGUUGGCCAGAACUCAGCCACAUGGCCACACCUAGCUGCAAGGGAGGCUGGAAGAUGGGGCCUAGCAGUGUUCCCAAGACCAAGAAGGGAGCAUGGAUAUCUGUCUUUGGCAUAUCUGAAUCUCUGAUCUUACCUUAGCGGCAGCUUUCUGGUUGCCAAACUACAAGACGGAAGGCAGGCCUUCCUGGGCCAUCCAGAUCUGCUGCUGAGCCCCCUGCCGGCCCUGCCAGCCUUCUACCCGCCUUUUAAAAAGUGCCUGGCUUCCUUCCAUGGCAGCUCCGAGGGGAUACAUAUGAUGUUUUACAAAAGUCUUCACACUUCAGGAGUGGUCUUCAAGGUCCAUAUGGGACUAUUUAAUCACUGAACAAAGGCAAGUUUCCACUUAACCCCUGGGCGUUUUUCAUUUGUCUAUUUCAAUCAUGAUACUUUGGAGCAGUGACCAGAUUCAGAUCAGUUUUGGUUCUUACAUUGGACAUUGUUUUGGUCUGACCAGCCUCCCUCUCCCUGCCCUUUGCCAACAGCUGCCAGACUCUCCUUCGGGGGAACGACCCUAUUCCGUGGCACACAGUCUUGAUGAAACUGUCAAUCAGGGAGGGGGCGAGAUCUGAGACCCAAGCUUAGCCAAUCAGAUUCUUCUGGGGAUCUGAAUCACGAGUGGAAUUAACAUCAGGUCAGAGAAAAAAUGCACGUCCAGUGAGGCACCGCUAAUUCCUGCUUCUUGGAGUAGCAUACUGAGAAGGUGUAGCCUUUGGAGUAUGGGCUGUGGGGCCAGAUUGUUUGGGUUAGAAACACACUUUCUAUAUAAGACCUGAAGCAAGCUAGUUAACCUCAUGCCUCGGUUUCCUCAGAUUGUGAAAGGGGAUAAUAGUACUUCUCUCAUAGGGUUGUUGUUCACAUCGCAUAAAUCAGUGCAUGGGUCUCAGCAGGAACACUUGUGAGGACACAGGAACCACUCUGAGUAUUUGAAGCAGAAAAGGAAUUUGAUGCAUGGAUUAGGAACAUAAAAAUCAGUGAAAGGCUGGAGAAGCAGGCUCCAGGCUGCAGGACUGGCUUCUGGAACACACUUCCAAACUGGCCUGCCAGGGGCACUGUCUCUUCUGCCACCAUCAGGAAAGUGGACCAGUAGUGGACCAUCACAGGGACUUCAAGAACACAGUGCCACAGCUGUGACCCAGGGAGCAGGAAGGCACUUGGCUGCUCCUGUGACCACCUCUCGUCACUCAAGAAGCUGAGGACUGGACAGUGGACGGUACUCUAUCCAAGAGCAUCAAGAUCACCAAGGUUCAAUUUUUAAGGUUGAAACGUUGGCUGCUAGUAAAAGUGCUAAUAUUCAUAAGCAAGCGAUGCAACUUGUAACUGAAGGAUCUAAAUCUGAGGACCCUGUCAGCUCUAUAAUUUCAUAAUUCCCAAGUCACAUGCAAAAAUCAGUUUAAUUAACUUGUAAUUAUGCUUCUUAUCUUCUGCAUUGGCAAAGAGGGAGAGGAUAGUCAUUCAUGGGCCCUCCAGCAGCACAGAAGCAUUUAUUACUUGCAUCUUCCUAACUUCCUUGAAAUGUAGUUUUAAUACCAUAAUUCACUUUUGUAAUAGUGGCCUGGUGACUUGGGCAGUGCAAUCACAUAUGCUGUUGAGACUUCGACGGAGCCAAAGGAGAGGCAUCUGGACUGCAGCAACAUGAGUCUGACCGGGAGGAGAGAAGGAGGAUGAGGAAGCUAAUCCUGAUAGAGAUCCCACAGUCAGGUGUCCGCUGUGGGAGAGAGUAGGGGAACUCACCUGCCCUGCAGAAGGGGGUGUGUGGGUGUGGGUGGGGUGAG